rnacentral:tRNA from 1 species
GCCGCCAUGGUGAAAUUGGUA